rnacentral:rRNA from 1 species
AAAGAAACCAACAGGGAUUGCCUCAGUAACGGCGAGUGAAGCGGCAAAAGCUCAAAUUUGAAAUCUGGCCUCCCUUGGGGGUCCGAGUUGUAAUUUGAAGAGGAUGCUUCGGGUGCGGCCACGGCGCAAGUCCCUUGGAACAGGGCGUCGCAGAGGGUGAGAAUCCCGUCUCGAGCCGUCGGACCCGCGCCCAUGUGAAGCUCCUUCGACGAGUCGAGUUGUUUGGGAAUGCAGCUCUAAGCGGGUGGUAAAUUUCAUCUAAAGCUAAAUAUUGGCCGGAGACCGAUAGCGAACAAGUAGAGUGAUCGAAAGGUUAAAAGCACCUUGAAAAGGGAGUUAAAUAGCACGUGAAAUUGUUGAAAGGGAAGCGCUUGCGACCAGACUCGGGGGCGGGGUUCAGCGGCCAUACGUGGCCGUGUACUCCCCGUUUCCCGGGCCAGCAUCGGUUCUCGCGGUCGGUCAAAGGCCCUCGGAAUGUGUCGUCCUUCGGGACGUCUUAUAGCCGGGGGUGCAAUGCGGCCAGCGGGGACCGAGGAACGCGCUUCGGCUCGGAUGCUGGCGU